rnacentral:rRNA from 1 species
AGGCCUCAAGUGAUGUGUGACAACCCCCUGAUU